UUAGCUAACUUGGAAGAAGUUGCAGCCGCCAGGGCUUCAGCUCGUGCUCGCGUUCGCGUUCUUACGCCAACUCGAGCGACCUCCAUCACUGGAAUUUCUGUAAGCCCUUGAGCCCUCAACUUUCUCACCGCGUUUCUAUGUUGCAGUUUCUCUUUAUCCUCUCUAUUUUGUCAUGGUUUGUUAAUUUGUACGUCUAUAUGGACUAUCGUCGUGGUCCAGGCUCCGUUAACAAGGACGGGUAAUCUGUAACGGGGAAUUUGACGGCGCCGUUCUUUAUACCAUUGGAGGACUGACAAGUGGAGUGGGACUUGUGAACUGUAGAGAACUGCACAGGAGUGAUUGCUUUUUUAUUUUUUUUUAGGGUAAUAUAGGAAAAUCGUACUGUUUGAGUGAAAGAAAG
rnacentral:lncRNA from 1 species